GACGAACGCUGGCGGCGUGCUUAACACAUGCAAGUCGAACGAAGUGGCGAACGGGUGAGUAACGCGUAAUCAACCUGCCCUUCAGAGGGGGAUAACAGUUGGAAACGACUGCUAAUACCGCAUACGGAAGGAGGAGAGUGCGUCUGAUUAGCUAGGUGGAGGGGUAACGGCCCACCAAGGCGAUGAUCAGUAGCCGGGUCGAAGGGAUGAACGGGCAAAGUGGGAACUCGACACGGCCCAGACUCCUACGGGAGGCAGCAGGGGGGAAUCUUCCGCAAUGGACGAAAGUCUGACGGAGCAACGCCGCGUGAGUGAUGACGGCCUUCGGGUUGUAAAGCUCUGUUAAUCGGGACGCGGUACCGGAAUAGAAAGCCACGGCUAACUACGUGCCAGCAGCCGCGGUAAUAC
rnacentral:rRNA from 1 species